rnacentral:lncRNA from 1 species
CGGAUUUGUUUCGGAUUCAAUCGGUGAUGUCGGGUACAGUCAAGGAGGCUUUGCAAAGUUGGACUCAUAGGAUGGGAUAGAGAAGCCCUAGGGUAUGGAUUGCUGCCCCCUUAACAAUCAUGUGGAAAGGGAAAUAGGACAUUUGAUGGGGUGGAACAAGAUUUUGUAAAAUUGCAUAGGAAUGUUUUGUCUCUAGUUACUUUUUGGGGGACUUACGAGGUCCUUGUUUGUAUAGAGGAUAGAAUCUCUN